GUGUGCCAUUGAUGAUUAGAGAUCUAGCAUGGUGAAUUCGAUGAAUGUGCUUGCGUGCCACUGGGUGCGCAACUCUGGUGAUAUACAUUCUUAUGCAGUGCAUCUGCGGCAAGC
rnacentral:snoRNA from 1 species